rnacentral:rRNA from 1 species
GACGAACGCUGGCGGCGUGCUUGACACAUGCAAGUCGAACGGAAAGGCCCUGCUUUUGUGGGGUGCUCGAGUGGCGAACGGGUGAGUAACACGUGAGUAACCUGCCCUUGACUUUGGGAUAACUUCAGGAAACUGGGGCUAAUACCAGAUAGGAGCUCCUGCUGCAUGGUGGGGGUUGGAAAGUUUCGGCGGUUGGGGAUGGACUCGCGGCUUAUCAGCUUGUUGGUGGGGUAGUGGCUUACCAAGGCUUUGACGGGUAGCCGGCCUGAGAGGGUGACCGGCCACAUUGGGACUGAGAUACGGCCCAGACUCCUACGGGAGGCAGCAGUGGGGAAUAUUGCACAAUGGGCGGAAGCCUGAUGCAGCAACGCCGCGUGCGGGAUGACGGCCUUCGGGUUGUAAACCGCUUUCGCCUGUGACGAAGCGUGAGUGACGGUAAUGGGUAAAGAAGCACCGGCUAACUACGUGCCAGCAGCCGCGGUGAUACGUAGGGUGCGAGCGUUGUCCGGAUUUAUUGGGCGUAAAGGGCUCGUAGGUGGUUGAUCGCGUCGGAAGUGUAAUCUUGGGGCUUAACCCUGAGCGUGCUUUCGAUACGGGUUGACUUGAGGAAGGUAGGGGAGAAUGGAAUUCCUGGUGGAGCGGUGGAAUGCGCAGAUAUCAGGAGGAACACCAGUGGCGAAGGCGGUUCUCUGGGCCUUUCCUGACGCUGAGGAGCGAAAGCGUGGGGAGCGAACAGGCUUAGAUACCCUGGUAGUCCACGCUGUAAACGGUGGGUACUAGGUGUGGGGUCCAUUCCACGGGUUCCGUGCCGUAGCUAACGCUUUAAGUACCCCGCCUGGGGAGUACGGCCGCAAGGCUAAAACUCAAAGGAAUUGACGGGGCCCCGCACAAGCGGCGGAGCAUGCGGAUUAAUUCGAUGCAACGCGUAGAACCUUACCUGGGUUUGACAUGGAUCGGGAGUGCUCAGAGAUGGGUGUGCCUCUUUUGGGGUCGGUUCACAGGUGGUGCAUGCCUGUCGUCAGCUCGUGUCGUGAGAUGUUGGGUUAAGUCCCGCAACGAGCGCAACCCUUGUUCACUGUUGCCAGCACGUUAUGGUGGGGACUCAGUGGAGACCGCCGGGGUCAACUCGGAGGAAGGUGGGGAUGACGUCAAGUCCUCAUGCCCCUUAUGUCCAGGGCUUCACGCAUGCUACAAUGGCUGGUACAGAGAGUGGCGAGCCUGUGAGGGUGAGCGAAUCUCGGAAAGCCGGUCUCAGUUCGGAUUGGGGUCUGCAACUCGACCUCAUGAAGUCGGAGUCGCUAGUAAUCGCAGAUCAGCAACGCUGCGGUGAAUACGUUCCCGGG